rnacentral:rRNA from 1 species
GAUGAACGCUAGCGGCAGGCCUAAUACAUGCAAGUCGAACGGUGUCUUCAGACAUAGUGGCGCACGGGUGCGUAACACGUAUGCAACCUACCUUACAUUGGGGGAUAGCCUUUCGAAAGGGAGAUUAAUACCGCAUAAGACAGUAGCUGGGCAUCCAGCAGCUGUUAAAGAUUUAUCGAUGUAAGCUGGGCAUGCGUCCAAUUAGCUAGUUGGUGAGGUAACGGCUCACCAAGGCAAUGAUUGGUAGGGGAACUGAGAGGUCAAUCCCCCACACUGGCACUGCGAGACGGGCCAGACUCCUACGGGAGGCAGCAGUAGGGAAUAUUGGGCGAUGGACGCAAGUCUGACCCAGCCAUGCCGCGUGCAGGAUGAAGGCGUUAUGCGUUGUAAACUGCUUUUAUACAGGAAGAAACGACUCUUGCGAGAGUCAUUGACGGUACUGUACGAAUAAGCACCGGCUAACUCCGUGCCAGCCGCCGCCGUAACAC